UGUGCAAGAACUUAAUAGGGUUCUAUGUGAAAAACUUGAAGACAAAAUGAAGGUGAUUUACUUACACAAUAUUUUUUUUAACUUUUCUUUUCCAUAUUUUUUGUGUGUGCGGCAUCCAACUUGGAAGUUGGAUGGUUGUUAACUUGUCACCAGGGAACUGUUGUGGAGGGCACCAUACAGCAGUUAUUUGAGGGUCACCAUAUGAACUACAUUGAAUGCAUCAAUGUGGAUUACAAAUCUACAAGGAAGGAGUCAUUUUAUGACCUUCAGCUUGAUGUAAAAGGCUGUUGUGAUGUUUAUGCUUCUUUUGAUAAGUAUGUAGAAGUUGAACGUCUUGAGGGUGAUAAUAAA
rnacentral:misc_RNA from 1 species